rnacentral:rRNA from 1 species
UCUGGUUGAUCUUGCCAGCAGUGAUAUGCUUGUCUCAAAGACUAAGCCACGCAUGUGUCAGUAUAUAUUUUGCAUUAGAAAACUGCGGAAAGCUCAUUAGAAAAGUGUAAAUGAAAAGUCAUAAUAAUAAUAUGCAUACCUUCUGUAAUUCUGAGGCAAAUGGAUGCAGGCGAUAAGGCAGUUCCAAAACAUGCACAUGAUGAGUUGAAAUAUCACCAAUUUAUUGGGAAUAUGUGCAAUACAAUUAUGUAAGCUGUUGCUUGUCACAUAGGCGAUUAUAUUCUUACCUAUCAGCUUGCGAUGAUACGCUAGUAACGUAUUAUGGCUGUUACGGGUGGCGAAGAAUUAGGGUUUGAUCUCGGAGAGGACGCUUGAGAAAUAGCGGCUACAUCUAAGGAAGGCAGCAGGCGCGUAAAUUACCCAAUCUUGACACAAGGAGGUAGUGACAAGAAAUAACUGUGUGUGGCUCUAUGCUGCACAUCCGGAAUGUGUGACAGGUUAAGCGUGUUGCGAGUAGCUAUUGGAGGGCAAGUCUGGUGCCAGCAGCCGCGGUAAUUCCAGCUCCAAGAGUGUAUAUUAAAGUUGUUGCGGUUGAAAAAGCUCGUAGUUGGAUUUAUGCUAUGCUGGUACAGUCGACCCCCUGGGUAGGACUUGUAUUGUUGCAUUGCACACUGUAGAAUUUGUGUAUGUUUUUCAGUAAAUGUGCAGAAUACUACUUAGUUACUUUGAGGAAAGUGGAGUGUCACACGCAGGUUGCGCCGUGAACAUGCUAGCAUGGCAUGACGCUGUAUGACUACGAGUCUUUUUGAACGGUUUCGGGACACGUGGUAAUGAUUGAUAUGAGGUGUUGGGGAUACUCAUAUUUGACAGUUAGAGGUGAAAUUCUUGGAUUUGUCAAAGAUGAACAAAUGCAAUAGCAUUUAUCAUGGAUGUCAUUUGAUCAAGAACGAAAGUUAGGGGAUCGAAGACGAUCAGAUACCGUCCUAGUCUUAACCAUAAACUAUGCCAACUGGAAAUUGGAAUAUAUGGAGAGAAAAUAUAUUCAGUAUUGUGCCUGAAAAGAGUAAGUGUGUGGGCUCCGGGGGGAGUAUAGUUGCAAGACUGAAACUUAAAGGAAUUGACGGAAGGGCACCACCAGGAGUGGAGCCUGCGGCUUAAUUUGACACAACACGGGAAAUCUCACCAAGUCCAGACAUACGCAGGAUUGACAGAUUAAUUGCUCUUUCUCGAUUGUAUGGGUGGUGGUGCAUGGCCGUUCUUAGUUGGUGGAGUGAUUUGUCUGGUUAAUUCCGUUAACGAACGAGAUCCUAUUCUGU